UAAAGGACAUGUUUUUAUUAAACAGGUGAAAAUUAUAUUUGCCGAAUUCCUUUAA
rnacentral:tRNA from 1 species